CACGAACCGUACGAACGUUAUUCGGAAUUACUGGGCGUAAAGAGCGCGCAGGCGGUCGAUCAAGUCGAGUGUGAAAGCCCCCGGCUCAACUGGGGAGGGUCAUUCGAAACUGGUCGACUCGAAGGCAGGAGAGGGUAGUGGAAUUCCCGGUGUAGUGGUGAAAUGCGUAGAUAUCGGGAGGAACACCAGUGGCGAAGGCGACUACCUGGCCUGUUCUUGACGCUGAGGCGCGAAAGCUAGGGGAGCAAACGGG
rnacentral:rRNA from 1 species